UUAAAAUGACAACUCUAAAUGUUGGUAAGAAUGUGGAUCAACCAACACUCCCUUGCUUUACUGGUGUGGGGGUAAAGCAGUACCAACAGCUGGGAAAAGAGGACCACUGUGAUUCACAAAAACAAUGGAUGAAAGAAGCUUUACACACAAAAUAAGAAAUCGCGGAUCAUCUUGAAAAGCUUCCUUGACGAGUUUACUAAAUCUAUUAAAUAAUGUGCCUUUUUGAGAAUGAUGCUAACAACCAACUUACAACCCAUGGAUGUCAAUUUUCUAAAAGAAACAAUACACACAAAAAGUCGUUGAGGAAGUUCUGCCUUGCCAAGGUGGGAAGGUCUGUCCCAACUCCUGAGUCAUCUCCUCCUGUACCAGCUCUGGAACAUGAUGGCCGAGCACUCCCGCCCGCGGCAGCGAGGCCAGACUGAGAACAGCUUCCGUGAAGAAAAAAACUUUUUUGCCACAUGCCAUCAACUCCUGUAUUUUUGCCUGAGAUGAGCACAACUUCUAAAUCCAGAGAAAUCUCUCCCCAGAGGUCUGCAAGGUCUUCAGCCAUAUACGGAUACCUGUAACGUUCUCAAGAAUUAACUUAAUCUAUGCACGUUUUAAAAACACUCUGCUGCUCAUGUGCUACAGGAUCAUCCACCGAUAAUCAAGCUUAUUAGAACUGUGUGCGUAACUGGAUCUGAGUGGGGCUCUAUAGUGGUCCUAUCACCAAAACCCAGCACCCUGGGCUCCCAGCUUCCAGCAGAACACUCAGCCACUCAGGACUCUUGCACUGGCUGACUUUUCAGGUUCUCCACUGAAUUACAAGAAUGUAAGGCUGCUUUAAGGGUUACCCUCUAGAUAAAUCAAAUUCUACUAUAUUAUACAUGCUUCAGACACAUACACAGACACUGAAGCGUGCCCGUACAUGUGCACAAAGAUGCAUAAAGCAUCUGAUCCAAGCCUGGGCCCUCAGCUCAAGCUGGGCUCAUUAAAACCUCGGAGCGAGACUCCUAUCUUCUCUCAGGUCACAAACUGAAGGACAGUCUGGCAGCAACCAUAGCCCCCACUUCAACAACAACAACAGAAACACUAACACUAAAUCCAGAUAGCCUUCAUGUUAAUGUGAUCCUUGCACUUCCCACAGUGGAUUUUAGAUGACCUAAUACAUUUACCUUUUUUGUCUGAGAUGUGUUCUUGCUCCUUACAACCAAGAGUGUGGACUACACAUGUGUGAGUGCCAUACACAUAUUCAAAUUUAUGUAUCAGACUUUUUGAUUCUUCCUUACACAGCUCCUACGUGCUUAUUCACAUUAUACUUAGGAACUCAGGACCCAGAAUUGGACUUAAUUAGAUGCCCAGCUUCACGAUGUCCUGGCUGUCUGAGGUUAACCUCCUGCACUGUCUGACCCUCAGUUUCCUUACUUAUAAAAGAGAAACAAUGACAGCACCUAUGUACUAGUUCUCCCUCCAAAAGACAUCCUCAAUCCCUCCACUGCCAUCAACACCUCUCACUUAUAGUUCAUACUUCAAAUACCCAACUACAACACAAAUGCUCUUUCAUAAUAUGAAAAUUAGGUCAUAUCAGCUCUUUGCUUAAAACCCUUGAACAGCUGCCCAUUGCACUGAGCUCUUGCUCCCUCUCCCCUCUAUUUGGAGCACUCGCGUCCCCUCACCCACCACACUGUGGCCACACUAACCUUUUUCUAUUCCUAAAACAUGCUAUGCUCAUUCCUGAUUCACAGCUUGUACACUCGCUCUUCCCUCCAUCUGGAGAGCUUUCUCAGGAUUUUUGCAAGACUAUAUCCCUAUCAUUUAGGUCUUAGCUCCAAUAUCACUCCCUGAAAAAGACUUUCCCUGACCAUAUUCCAUAAAACAAAAGUGAGCAACACCAGCACCAAUUCACUCUCUAUAGCAUGAGUCUAAUCUGUAAAGAACCACUUACACUGGGACACUGAAAGGACUUGGCACAUACUUCCCUGGGUGCUAUUAAAAAUAUAAUCAACUGCUUGUACAGCAUAAAGAUUUGAGAGACAAACAAGAGCUGAGACAGAUUGAAUGAAAAAAGUGAAACUCCACUAUUUACAGAUAAGAUGCCACCAAA